rnacentral:rRNA from 1 species
CGAACGCUGGCGGCAGGCCUAACACAUGCAAGUCGAGCGGAUGUAGCAAUACAUCAGCGGCAGACGGGUGAGUAACACGUGGGAACGUACCUUUUGGUUCGGAACAACACAGGGAAACUUGUGCUAAUACCGGAUAAGCCCUUACGGGGAAAGAUUUAUCGCCGAAAGAUCGGCCCGCGUCUGAUUAGCUAGUUGGUGAGGUAACGGCUCACCAAGGCGACGAUCAGUAGCUGGUCUGAGAGGAUGAUCAGCCACAUUGGGACUGAGACACGGCCCAAACUCCUACGGGAGGCAGCAGUGGGGAAUAUUGGACAAUGGGCGCAAGCCUGAUCCAGCCAUGCCGCGUGAGUGAUGAAGGCCCUAGGGUUGUAAAGCUCUUUUGUGCGGGAAGAUAAUGACGGUACCGCAAGAAUAAGCCCCGGCUAACUUCGUGCCAGCAGCCGCGGUAAUACNAAGGGGGCUAGCGUUGCUCGGAAUCACUGGGCGUAAAGGGUGCGUAGCGGGUCUUUAAGUCAGGGGUGAAAUCCUGGAGCUCAACUCCAGAACUGCCUUUGAUACUGAAGAUCUUGAA